CGGCCCCGGCGGAGGGAAGCGCAGGCGGCGGCGGGUUCGCGGCUGCAUCCCCCUCUCCGGUGCGACCCCCGGCAUCCUCUUCUGGAGCCAGCAGGGCCCGACCUUUCCAGCGGAGGACCUGAGGUGGAUGAUGCACCAAGUUGAAAAAUUACUUUGCUGGUCCAGCCAUUGACCUAAUAAGUGUUCCAGACAUCCCGAGGAGGGCAUGGACAACUGGAAAGAAAGCAAACAAAGUUCGGCAGAGGAAUAGUGAUGGCAUCAUACUUCACUACAACUUUCUGAAUGGCGUGAAGAUGACUCUAAGGAGUUGGCAGUGUUAAAGCCCCAAGAAAAACACGUACUUUCUGUCAGCCCCUCAUGCCUGCACCCAUGACUCUCACAACACUUAAAGGAUUCUAGCAUCUACAAGCUUAUGAAUUAGUCUCAAGUGUAAUAUGAUCUUUAAAAUGAGAUCUUCUUGAUUGCAAUAGACAACAGACCAAUUAUGCUUAAAACCAGAAUCAUUGUUUACCUUAACUGCGAAACUGAGGCAGUGUCACACACAAGGCUGCCAGAGCUGAUUAUAAAACUGUCUAUUUGUAUUAGAGACUCAAUAUUUCAUGGCAUUAAAAAAAAAAAAAAAAAAGUCAAGAUCAGCCAUUAGCAAACUGGAAUAUUAUAUACAAGAGUCUCUAAUUCCGUGAGUCAAAAAACCUUAAUUCAUCUAUGUUGGGAUUAACCUUCUGGUUUUGUGAGGAAAAGAGAAAGCCCAAGUACAUGCAAAAUAAAUUGAUAGUCUACAAUCAUCUUUUUAAGGACAAAUUUGUUAGCUUUCGUUCCCAGCACAAAGGACUGUAUGAGUAUUUUUACAACUUCUUUAAAAACUGCAUUUUGCUAUUUAAAAAAAUUCCUAUACAAAUAUAGCCCUUGUGAAUAUGUAUUUAUGAGUCUACAUUUCUAAUCCAUAUUUCCUAAUUAAUGUUAGAAAGUCACCAUUCCUUGAAUUUUUAUCUCAAAAUUCAAUCUCCUAUAUAACACAGAGUUUAUUUUCAAUAUUUAGACCAAGAAGAUAACUUUCAUACAUCAAGGACCACUUGGUUAAUUUCUACAGUAAUUGCAAGAGCAAGUUUAUUAAUCUAGAACAUGUGAUAUUUAAUGCAGGUGAACCAUUAUCUGAAAUUUGCUGGAGCUUGUUAAGAGGUUGUAAGUUAAUUACCUCCUUUUGUAGAUGG